rnacentral:rRNA from 1 species
UACGUAGGGUGCGAGCGUUAAUCGGAAUUACUGGGCGUAAAGCGUGCGCAGGCGGUUCGUUAAGUCAGCUGUGAAAGCCCCGGGCUUAACCUGGGAAUGGCGGUCGAAACUGGCGAACUUGAAUCUGGCAGAGGGGGGUGGAAUUCCACGUGUAGCAGUGAAAUGCGUAGAGAUGUGGAGGAACACCGAUGGCGAAGGCAGCCCCCUGGGCUGAGAUUGACGCUCAGGCACGAAAGCGUGGGGAGCAAACAGG